rnacentral:lncRNA from 1 species
UUCCCGAGAACUGGUUUUUUGGGACUUAGCCGAUUUUUCAGCUUUCUUAUUUCUCACACGUUCGGGGACCGGUCUCUCCCACCAAGAAUCGGUCCCCGAGAGCCCAAAAACUGCAGUUUACAGAUUUUUGAUUCCUUAGCUCUCGAAAACCUCUCAUAAUGCACUUUUACUCAUUUUAACACCUUUGAACUUUUCGAAGUGUACCAUCCUCACACUUUGGUCAAUUUGACUAAAGUUCGAUAGUUAUUUACCGAAGUUUUGGUAUAUUACAGUUUGGUUUUGAGUAAACGAAGGAAUGGAAUCAAGUUCAAUCAGUUUCAGUGUUUAUUUUGAUGUAAAUCAAAAAAAUAAUGUAACUUAAGUUACAUUAGAUCUCUACUUUACCUAUUCUUAACUUCUCCAUCUAGAGUGCCAAGCUCAAGUUCCACCGUACUCAACCUUAUUUAAAAAAUUAAUUAAAUAUUAAAACCUAAAUCUACUUUCUUUAUGGUGGUUUAGAAUUACCUCCUUUAUAAUAAGCUAGGAUAACAUUUAAAUAAUAAUGAAGAAUAAU